ACACACGACCAAAACUCAAACUCGUUGAAAGAUUGCUUCAACAGAUGACGUACAUGCACGUAUAAGGUUUCAAUACAGAAACAAUCAUGCAGCCAGUCAUGCAAGACAUUCGUAUAAUCACGGGAUAAAACCUAAAACUUAUUGCAGCAAUAGAAGAGUUCAUCUUCAUACUUUGACUUAAUUAAAUAGUGAAGGACCAAAUUGCGGUGGAGUUGGUAUAGUUAUCAAGGAACAAAGCUGUUCGAAGGUACUAAGG